AUCCCUAGGAGAAAACAAGCCACGGAGCUUACGUGCACAUCCCUGCGCUCGGGAGAUCCUUGGGGUGGGGGUGGGGGUGGGGUGAAUCAUCAGGAGAGCGAGGAGGUGCUCCGGAUCUCUCAGCUACCCCCCACCCCCACCUAGAAUUCCUUUUAUCGGCUCUUGUCCAGAUCAAAACCCAGCAGCUCCAAGCCUUCAAGAUCAGGCUGAGGCUGCAGAACGGGGCCUGCAAAGGGGCAUCUGGGAUUGUACUGAUAAGGAAAAUAUUCAACACAGCCGUCAAGUCUCCGCCCAGGUGCCCUGGGCCAGCCCCGCUCUGCUGUUCCCGCCAGACUCAAGGAAGCUUGGCAUCAAAUCCGCCACUGCUUCUGCCCUCAACGUUGCAGGCGUCACUCCGUGGGUCCAUCAUUCCAGAGUGAAAAGGGCCCAAGCAGAGAAAGAAGUACAUCAAUAGAAGACCCAGCUUGACCUUCAGAAUCCUCUCUGCCUCCGCAUCCAACUAUUACCCUCUGACUAAUGAACGCCUGCCUGCAUGCCUGGGAUCUUGGUCCUCGCCAGAAUGGAAUCUCCCAUCCUGGGCAUUAAACUCUCUGCUGCUGCCCCCUCUGACAAAACUGUUCCUCAAAAAGUUGCCCUUUCUAUUGUCUAUUAAGUAAUAAGUUGUUUUGCUGUGCUUACCUGUCUCUCCUAGCUGAACUCAAAUCUCAGUCUGCAUUUCCAAAGUACGUCUCUAUAAUGUUACCUCUAUCAAAUUACCUGUACAAAGUUAUAAAGUGCGUGGUCAUCACCCAAGAGAGCUGCCCUCGGUGACCCUCCACCCUUAACACCUGUCCUCUCACACUCAAAUUAGCCAGCCUGAGUGUAAUGCUCAGCUGCAUAAAAAUAAAUUAAGACUGAAGAAAACUGAGUAUUUUUUGCUAAACACAGGCUUAUCAAGAGUCUGAAGGACUCAUUUCAACUUGUACACACAAGGCCCAUACAGACAAAUGCAUAAAAACAUGAUCAUUUGUGUUCUUUACAAAAGUACUCAAGACUUUAACAAAGUUGCAAAAAAAAAAAAUCCUAGCUCAAAGCAAUUAAAAGUAUAAAUACAAGCCAUUAUAACCCUAUCAUAAACCAAAAAGAUGAUGCCCCCUAAGACGAAGUGUUUAAAGGGGCAUCAGCGGGGAGUGAUAAGGAAAAUAUUCAACACAGCCGUCAAGGUCAGUAAACCACUUUUCCCUCUGGUUGGCAAAGUCAGCAGAGCACCCCAGCUCCCUCCUCCCCUCCUUCUCUGGGCUCCGCUUUUGCCCUGCGCAUGCCAAAAUGCCACAUAUCAUAAUAAUGUAAUUGCUCCCCUUGCGUGUGCUCAGAUCUCAGAUGUUGGGUGAUUACUCCCCUCUGAGCCCACCGGUGUAAAAUAAAACCUCAACACUCCCAAGA